rnacentral:rRNA from 1 species
AUUGAACGCUGGCGGCAUGCUUUACACAUGCAAGUCGAACGGCAGCGCGGGCUUCGGCCUGGCGGCGAGUGGCGAACGGGUGAGUAAUGCAUCGGAACGUGCCCAGUCGUGGGGGAUAGCCCGGCGAAAGCCGGAUUAAUACCGCAUACGACCUGAGGGUGAAAGCGGGGGACCGAAAGGCCUCGCGCUAUUUGAGCGGCCGAUGUCGGAUUAGCUAGUUGGUGGGGUAAAGGCUUACCAAGGCGACGAUCCGUAGCUGGUCUGAGAGGACGACCAGCCACACUGGGACUGAGACACGGCCCAGACUCCUACGGGAGGCAGCAGUGGGGAAUUUUGGACAAUGGGGGCAACCCUGAUCCAGCCAUGCCGCGUGCGGGAAGAAGGCCUUCGGGUUGUAAACCGCUUUUGUUCGGGAAGAAAUACUCUGGGCUAAUACCCCGGGGGGAUGACGGUACCGGAAGAAUAAGCACCGGCUAACUACGUG